rnacentral:rRNA from 1 species
GGAUGUUGCGAAGACACACAUAAAGGAUGCAUUGUCACAAAGGCCAGCCUACAAAGUCAAGUGCUAGCAAUUGUUGACAAGAGGUGGGAUCACCUGAUGGAGCAAAAGCUACAUGGGGCUGCAAUGUUUUUGAACCCCAGCAAGUUCUUUAAAAUGAAGGAGACUAACAGAAGACUAGUUGCACGGCUGCGUUCAAUGUCCAAUGAUGUGCUAUGGAAGAUGGUGCCGAAUGAUGAACUACAAUCCAAGAUAAGUAAAUUGGCUGAUGAUUAUGAGCUCACGGAGGGUGAAUGUUUCACCAAGCAAAUGGCAAUUAGAGACCGCGAGAAAAAGAGUCCUCGUAAGUAUCUAUGA